ACUUGAAUAGCUUAUAUUUCAGAGCGUGACACUGAAGAUGUCAAUGAGGAUUAUUUCCUUCGAGUG
rnacentral:tRNA from 2 species